rnacentral:rRNA from 1 species
GACGAACGCUGGCGGCGUGCCUAAUACAUGCAAGUAGAACGCAGUUGCGAAGGGGUGAGUAACGCGUAGGUAACCUGCCUCAUUACGGGGGAUAACUAUUGGAAACGAUAGCCAAAACCCCAAUUUGUGAGACGGAUCUGCUUUGUAUUUGUUAGUUGGUGAGGUAAAGGUCCACCAAGGUGACGAUACAUAGCCGACCUGAGAGGGUGAUCGGCCAAACUGGGACUGGGGACAGGCCCAGACCCCUACGGGAGGCAGCAGGAGGGGAUCUUCGGCAAUGGGGGGAAAUCUGACCGAGCAACGCCGGGGGAGUGAAGAAGGUUUUUGGAUCUGAAAGCUCUGUUGUGAGGGAAGCGGUAACUAACCAGAAAGGGACGGCUAACUACGUGCCAGCAGCCGCGGUAAUAC